GGAAAGGACCCAUCAGGAUCAUUGAGUCCAACUCCUGGCCCUCUGCAGAAAACAAGAAUCCCACCAUGUGCCUGAGACACUGAGUCCCUUCCUUAGCAUCUCAUAGUGCCUCAGGUUUCUAAGUUCACAGAGAGCAGGCUUCCAGACUUUCCCUGGCAGUCAUGAAGGAUGAAAACACUGUUUUGAAGGUUGCACUUUUCGCAUACCUUCUUUCACAUUCUUGGGAUCAGUGCUCUGAGAGACCAUGGCUGCUGUACCAAGCUGGGAUGGGACAGAGAAGAUGUCCUGUCCAGGAACACAAAUGCUGCAAGGUUGUGGCUGUGGGUCCUCAAGGAAGCUUGGAACUGCUAUGGAACUUGGCCCAUGGAGUUUGAGGGCCCAUGGGAUGAACUUCCCUGCAUCAGUAAACAACUACAUACACUUGGAACAUGUUCCUCCCAAGCAAAGAAAGCACUGGUCCCUGGCAUUAUACAACUCAUAAAUUGGUCUUGCAGCCUACUGGAUCUCCAGAUACCUGAAAAGCUUUGAGAGCUACUGCUCAUUCAGCAGCUUAUGGUUCCUUCUGGAGGUCUAAUUUAGCCUGGAAACUUUGAAGGGUUCAUGCCACCUUGCCUUGGACAUCCUCAACUCAACAGCACUACAGGGAAAAGAAAAGAGUGGAGGAUUUAUUGCAGGAUGGCAUUAGCAAGGGUGUGGUAAGAAGGGACAAAAUCGAAACCUAACAGUGUACUAUAAAUGCAAAGGAGAGAAGUAAUAAUUCACCUCUCUUUUAUCACUUCCACAGUGUGUUUUGUUCCAGAAACAACAGAGACUUUUAUCUGAAAGUCCUUGGAUGACCGAUCCCAUUUAAAUUCAGCCUCAGCCUCUGCAGGCUGAAGUAAGGCCUGACCAUGCUGUGAGGUGGAGCCAGCAGGGACCCCAAAUAUUUUCCAGCUCUAAAAAAGCAUGGUCAGAUUAUUGUUUCAAAAGGAAGAUUAACACCUCUCUGAAGUCAAAGGCGUGCACAAAAACCCAGGAAAGGGGAUUUCUGUUCCUCCCUGAGGUGCAUGCAAAGUCUUUCUUGGAAGAAAGAAGUGGCUGCAUUUUUCUUUCAGGUUUAUCUCACAGGCACGUGAAAGGCAAUUGGGGCUUCCCAAACCAUCAAUUAAAUGCUGUGAGAAUUUGUAAAAGUUAACAAGGGAAAGAGGGAGUUAUCUGAGGAUUCUUAAACCAUUUUAAGCAGGAGCAUGGAAAGAUUGCCGAGCACAAGUUUUAAACCCAUCAUAUUUCAAGCAUCUAAAAUCUUUGUCCCAAGGUCUCACUGCUAGAUUAAGCUUGGUCACAGAACACAAGACAGCAGGGCUGCUGACUUUAAUUCAAGGAGGAUUUGGACAACGCUCUCAGCACACGGUGGAAUUCUUGGAGUGCCCUGUGUUUGGCAAAGAUGAACUCCAGGAACCUCGUGGGUCCCUUCCAACACAGGACAUUCUCUGACUCUGUGGCUUGGGAUGGCUGCCGUGCCCACCACCCUCUGCCGAGGGCUGCGCACCCCCCGUCACCGCCCGACCCCGCUGAUACACGGGGCACUGAAGGAGGCUGAAACUUCGCUCCGGGCUGGCAGGGAAGAGAAGGGCCGGGAAGGGCUGGGGCUGCGGCGGAAGGGCCCCGACACCGCGCU